rnacentral:rRNA from 1 species
GACGGAGGGGGCUAGCGUUGUUCGGAAUGACUGGGUGUAAAGGGCGCGUAGGCGGUGUUUUUAGUGAGGCGUGAAAGCCCUGGGCUUAACCCAGGAGGUGCGUUUCAUACUGGAAUGCUAGAGUGCGAGAGAGGAAAGUGGAAUUCCUAGUGUAGAGGUGAAAUUCGUAGAUAUUAGGAAGAACACCAGAGGCGAAGGCGGCUUUCUGGCUCGUAACUGACGCUGAGGCGCGAAAGAGUGGGGAGCAAACAGG